GACGUAGGGCGCGAGCGUUGUCCGGAUUUAUUGGGCGUAAAGAGCUCGUAGGCGGCUUGUCGCGUCGACUGUGAAAACCCGCGGCUCAACUGCGGGCCUGCAGCCGAUACGGGCAGGCUAGAGUUCGGUAGGGGAGACUGGAAUUCCUGAUGUAGCGGUGAAAUGCGCAGAUAUCAGGAGGAACACCGGUGGCGAAGGCGGGUCUCUGGGCCGAUAUUGACGCUGAGGAGCGAAAGCGUGGGGAGCGAACAGG
rnacentral:rRNA from 1 species